rnacentral:rRNA from 1 species
CCUACGGGAGGCAGCAGUGAGGAAUAUUGGUCAAUGGGCGCGAGCCUGAACCAGCCAAGUAGCGUGAAGGAUGACUGCCCUACGGGUUGUAAACUUCUUUUAUAAAGGAAUAAAGUGAGGCACGUGUGCCUUUUUGUAUGUACUUUAUGAAUAAGGAUCGGCUAACUCCGUCCCAGCAGCCGCGGUAAUACGGAGGAUCCGAGCGUUCUCCGGAUUUAUUGGGUUUAAGGGGAGCGUAGAUGGGUUGUUAAGUCAGUUGUGAAAGUUUGCGGCUCAACCGUAAAAGUGCAAUUGAUACUGGCAUUCUUGAGUACAGUUGAGGUAGGCGGAAUGCGUGGUGUAGCGGUGAAAUGCUUAGAUAUCACGAAGAACUCCGAUUGCGAAGGCAGCUUACUAAACUGCCACUGACAUUGAUGCUCGAAAGUGUGGGUAUCAAACAGGAGUAGAUACCCCGGUAGUC